UGAGGAAUAUUGGGCAAUGGGCGCAAGCCUGACCCAGCAACGCCGCGUGAAGGAAGAAGGCUUUCGGGUUGUAAACUUCUUUUCUCAGGGACGAAGCAAGUGACGGUACCUGAGGAAUAAGCCCCGGCUAACUACGUGCCAGCAGCCGCGGUAAUACGUAGGUGGCAAGCGUUAUCCGGAUUUACUGGGUGUAAAGGGCGUGUAGGCGGGGAAGCAAGUCAGAUGUGAAAACCAGAGGCUCAACCUCUGGCCUGCAUUUGAAACUGUAGUUCUUGAGUGUUGGAGAGGCAGGCGGAAUUCCGUGUGUAGCGGUGAAAUGCGUAGAUAUACGGAGGAACACCAGUGGCGAAGGCGGCCUGCUGGACAAUAACUGACGCUGAGGCGCGAAAGCGUGGGGAGCAAACAGG
rnacentral:rRNA from 1 species